CACGCUGGAGGAGACCUAGAGAGGCACACAUUACAAAUACUGGAGACCAAACCCUAUGUAAUCUUACCCUCACUCCUGUUCAAACAUGUGAUCAUAUGUGGACCUCCAACACACGAGCUAGAUAGAAGAAAGAACUUCCCUGAGCCUGGGUUGUCAACACUGUUCAGUAAAAUCAUCAGAAGGCCUUUCCUCUUGGAAGGUGGUGAACCAGGAGACCCUCAUCUUGAUGGGACAGGAUCAGUCUGUCUGCACCACCAUCUCUCUGGCUGGGUACCAGGCUGGAGGAAAAGACCUUGUCUGUUGGAACAUCGUCUCUGGGUAAGUUUCUGUCUGUCCCCCCCUGCCUCUGACUCUCUCUCUUUCUUCCGGAGUCUUCAUGCAUCUUUGCAUCUUCGUCUUUCUGUCCCUCUCUUCCCUGGCCUUCUCCCUCCCCACUGUUCCCUUCUCUUCUUCCACUCCCUGGCCCCCAUCACAAGUUCCCGUUCCCUCCAGCCCUCAGCUCUGCCCUCCCUCUGGCUGCAGACCUACUGCCUGUUCUCUCCCAGGCCCCUCAGGUUUGGAGUUGGAUGGGGAAACCAGGAAGGCGGUCUGAAAAGUGACUUUUUGGCUACAAAAAGUUCUUUUUCUUCCUCUCUGCCCACCCGGGCCCCAGCCCUUCCUUCUCGCAGUGCCCGAGGCAGCUUGGACGGAGCCCUGUGCUCUGCAGACUAGGGCAGGUUUGAACAGAUCUGCAUCCCAGGUCACCAGCUGGCUGUGGGGUUAUCAGAGGCACCAUCUCCCCACACCCCUCCCAGGCCCUGCGUGGAGGGCCCUGGGGCUGUGGUUAUGAAGCUGGCUGCCAUGCGGACGACCUGGAUCAGAGCUCGGGGUAGUCAUAUAUGACAAUUGGUUGAAAUAUCACAGCCGCUCUCCCCCCACCCCCAUUGGUGAUCUAUGGGCUGCGUGCCCUGUAAAAAUUAUUUAUCGGGGCCUCAGAGUGUCCUGAUUUAGUGCUGCUGCCUCUGGGGCCGAGGGGCCUGCCUGUCCGCCAGGCCUAAGCGUUAAACGACGCUAAAAAGUUAAACGGCCAACGUUGGGGGCUCACUCGAGGAGGCGCCAUAAAGCUGUCGGAGCUGCUUAAAUCAGGAGCGAGGAUUCCCCGGGACAUCUUCUCACCAUAUGCCGCAAGCCAAGAAGGCUCUCCUCACCCUUCUGCGCUCACCCCAACCCAGCCGCACACACAGGCCAGAGGCCACGUGGGCCAGGCCUGGGGUCCUGCGCAGAGCGGUCAAGGUAGACCUCCUCUCAGCCCUCCCCCAGGGUCAAUCGGGCAGGGCCCAAGAGGGUAAGAGGCCGCGUGUCCAGCCCUCUGCCUCGAGCCAGCGUUUCCUUGUUCAGAUCCAGUUCUUAAGGACUCCUCGUUCAGAUCCAGUUCUUAAGGACUUGCAGUGAACGGCUGCACAGCAGCCCCUUCCAGGGGCCCGUGUCGGGGCAGUGCUUUCCUGGUGCUUCACUGACAACUGUUAGUGGGUCGGACCCACUGGAAUCAGUGUCUUCCUGCCUGGGUUUGAAGCAGGUGCUCUGUCCCAGCCAGAUGGGGACCUCAGGUCGGCUCUCCGCCCCCACCUCCUUCCAUUCACGGCUCUUGGAAGAACAGAACUCCACCCUGUGAUCACUGCCCUCCUCCAGCCACCCCUGGGUGCCAGCCUGACACUCAAGGCUCACAGGCAGUCUUCCCGGCCGAACCCCAGUCCAUGCUGCCACCGCCCGGCCGCCGCCGAGUACGCGAGAGGGAGGUGGGUCUCCGCGGGCUGCCUAUCACGCCUUCUUUCAGCAGCAGUAAAACUCACCUCUUAAAACCUCCGCUUGGGUCCCUAAUAUUUGCCUGGCUAUAUAUCUCCGGUGAUAUAUGGACAGAAAUUGCUCGUAAACGGCUAUAAAACCUCUCAGUUGAGCUGGGGAGGAGGCGCUUGAGGGUGGACAUGGGCCAGGCUGCAGUAGGGUCGGAAGCGGAGACACUCCACUGAGCACCCCAAAUUCAACCCUGGAUCCCAGGACGAGGGGCCGGGGGUGGGGCCCUUGGGGGAAGGAGGGAGGGAAGAGACCCAGAGAAGAUCUUCAAGCCCCUCCGGUGGUGUUACGGGCUGUCUCAUCUGGCUGCUCCCAUGAUGUGCUGUGUGGCCUCGGGCACGUCACUCAGGGGCUCUGUGCCAAGCUUCCCAUUCCUAGAAGACAGUGACACACACCCAGGCUUGAUGAGGAGCCACACAGAGAAUUAGUCUGGCCUUUGUAAAGGAAGGAGGUUGCACAUACUGGGCACUACCCCAGGUGGGCAGGGUGUCUUUGGAAGGCCUACUGUGUGCUGGAUUCUUUGCCUAAUCAUCUCUAAUCCUGACAACGGCCUGCCAUGGAGAUAUUGUCGUCGCCACAUUGUUGGAUAAGAAACCUCAGAUUCACAGAGGUGCACACAGGGGGUCAGUUCCCAGGGAGCAACCCCAGAGCUGGUGUCCUUUCCACAGGUGAAGAUGAAAUCCGGGUAACAGGAGGGGCAACAGGGGACUCUAGGGGGACUUCCGGAUAAGGAUGUGGGGUGCUGGGAGGCCUUCUGGGCCCCUCCUCUUCCCAAGGGUGCAGGCCUCUCACCUUCCAACACUUCAGUCCCAGUCUCCCCAGGGCCUAGGGAUUUCUGCAGUGAAUUCCCAAGCACUGUACCUGCUGACAUGGCCCUAUGAAAGCCGUUCCUCCCCUGGCCCCACCAGGACUGGACCCCUGUCUCCUGGUCUCCUGGGUGGAGGGUGCUGCCCUCCCACAAAGCCUCAGGUUUCCACUUCUGCUUUGGGAGCGAUUUCUCCGGGAGGUGGAAUAUAGUGCUCUGGCCAGAGUUUCAGAGCCCUAGGCCAGGUUCUGGUUACCCCUAAUCCCCACCCCGCCCCCACCCUCCCCAGGCUUUGGAUGCCUCUUCCUUCCAUGGCUCCAGCCCUUCUCUUCUCUCCAUGCUAUAUCCCCCUGGACACCCCACAGUCUCCCUCUCCCACAGCUCCCUGAGAGCUGGUCCCCCCACUGGUUUUUCCACCCUCACACUGCCUCUCCAGUACCUGGUCUCCCCUUCCCUCCACCGUGAGCCCUAGUUCUCUUCGUCCUCUUGCCCAAGUCCCUUUAACUCCUGGUUGCUGCCUACGGUCACCCACCCUUUCCCUCCCUCCUGGCGUCUUGUCUCCCUUGCUCUCCAGAUGCUCCUUCCUUCCACGACCCCCAGACACUACCCGUCCCCUAAUGAACCUGUUGUCUCUCUCCCCUGCCCUCCAGGAUCCCCAGCAUCCCACCCUUUGUCCCAUUCUUGGGAUGAACCAGAACAAACAGUAGGAAGGCUACCCUCUGCCCCACACCUCCCCUUCCGUGGUGGUUCCCACCCCCAACCCCACUUUUCUUUAAGUUUCCAAAUCAACCUUCCUCCAAUAAUAAUGAUAAAGCAGGAAGCUGGGCCGGAGGACAGUGCAGAUUUUUCUUCUUGACACGGAGUUUCCGAUUAAAGGCAAAGGGACAUAAAUCCUCCUGCGUAAUUGCUGUGCUCCAGCUUGGAGCCACUCAGAGGGGAGGUGCCCACCCCUCUGCCCCUGCCCCUGGGAGCCCCACCCCCAUCCUGAGCAGGGCUCAUUGCCCCCAGAGCCUGGGGCUGGGCUAGGAAGGGGGAAGGGAAUGGCGCCAGGUGUCCAGAGGCUGUGGGAAGGGAGGGGCAUACACCCAGCAGGGGCCCUGCUUUUCUUUCCAGGGGUCCCAGCCCCAGUGAUGGACCCCUGCCCAUGGCCCAACUCUAAAGUAAGCACCUUUCCCUUCAGCCCAGGCAGCCCCUCAACCCUGCACAUUGAGAACACGCAUUAUAUUUCUGCAAAGCUUCUUGGCAUUCAUGAUCUCAUUUGAUUCUUGUAAGGACCUUGAAAAUUAUUAAACAAAUAUCAGAUGGAGGGAGGGGCCUGAGUGAUCUGUCAAAACAAGGCCCCUCGUUUUAGGGGAACUUGGGCUGCAGAAGUGACUGGCUAGCGGCAGAGCUGACCUAGCCCUCUCAGAACGUGCCUUCUCACUUACAAGGAGGGGCUGACAUUGCUGAAAUCUAUUUAACUAGGGCCUAAAUAGCCUCCUCCCAAGCGGUGUUCUCACCCACCAGAGCAGUUUUUUAAAUAUCGAGAAUGCUUGCUUUAUCCCCUAUGAUUAGGGAAAGAAGACUCUGUCAGUGUAUGUAAAUUGCUCAAGGUCGAGGGUUAGGGGCAGAGCCCAGAGUACCAACACUUCCACCUUCACACUCAUUCUCAGAAUUUUACCUCCAGAUUCUAACCUCUGGUGACUGCAGGUUGGACUCUCAGGCUGGCCAGGAAAUCUGCCUCCCCUUCCCCCACCAGUGAGAACCCUCCCAGCUCUGCCCCUCCCUUCUUUUCCAUCCCUAUUGCCCACUCGCCUCUUCCAUGAAGCCUUCCUGAUUUGAAACCCGUGGUUCUUCUCCUGUUUCUUCCUGCACUGAACAACUCCCUCCAGCUCCUGCUAAAUCAGGUCCUAGAUGUGAGUGUCCCCUGUCACCAGACUAACAGACCAGGCCUGUGUGUCCUCCCUCUGAAAUGCCAUUUCCCAAUCCCCCCUUCAUCUUGCCCUCCCAUGCCUGCCCCCAAUCUAGGCCCAAAACACUUGUACAGCAGGCAUGCAGACAGAUGUGUGUCCAGGGGACCCAGCAGUCCUGUCUCCUUUUACAUCAGUGGAUGUGUCCACAGAACCCCAGGUGUAAACGCCCAUGGCUUCUGGGUUUCCCUGGCCCUCCCAGGCCAUCUGGUCUGCUGUCCUCCCAGACCCCCUACUUCCCCUGUAUCUCUAGGGAGCGGGGUCCUUUAGCUGAGACCAAGGAAAAGAGGAGCCACCUCCACCACAUCCUCAUUCUGCUUACCCACCUAUGAAUAAACCCAGGCCCGACCGAUUCA
ensembl:lncRNA